rnacentral:rRNA from 1 species
CCUACGGGAGGCUGCAGUGAGGAAUAUUGGUCAAUGGACGCAAGUCUGAACCAGCCAUGCCGCGUGCAGGAAGACGGCCCUAUGAGUUGUAAACUGCUUUUGUACGGGGGUAAACGCUGAUACGUGUAACUGUUUGAAAGUAUCGUACGCAUAAGGAUCGGCUAACUCCGUGCCAGCAGCCGCGGUAAUACGGAGGGUUCAAGCGUUAUCCGGAUUUAUUGGGUUUAAAGGGUGCGUAGGCGGUAGGAUAAGUUAGAGGUGAAAUCCCGGGGCUCAACCUCGGAAUUGCCUCUGAUACUGGUCGGCUAGAGUGUAGUUGCGGUAGGCAGAAGGUGUGGUGUAGCGGUGAAAUGCUUAGAGAUCAUGCAGAACACCGAUUGCGAAGGCAGCUUAC